rnacentral:tRNA from 1 species
GGCCUUGUAGCUCAGCUGGUAGAGCAUCGGUGUAAAAUCCGAAGGUCGUGGGUUCGAAUCCCAGCGAGGUCG